AGUGAACGCUGGCGGUAGGCCUAACACAUGCAAGUCGAACGGCAGCACAGUAAGAGCUUGCUCUUACGGGUGUCGAGUGUCGGACGGGUGAGGAAUACAUCGGAAUCUACUUUUUCGUGGGGGAUAACGUAGGGAAACUUACGCUAAUACCGCAUACGACCUACGGGUGAAAGCAGGGGAUCUUCGGACCUUGCGCGAUUGAAUGAGCCGAUGUCGGAUUAGCUAGUUGGCGGGGUAAAGGCCCACCAAGGCGACGAUCCGUAGCUGGUCUGAGAGGAUGAUCAGCCACACAGGAACUGAGACACGGUCCAGACUCCUACGGGAGGCAGCAGUGGGGAAUAUUGGACAAUGGGCGCAAGCCUGAUCCAGCCAUACCGCGUGGGUGAAGAAGGACUUCGGGUUGUAAAGCCCUUUUGUUGGGAAAGAAAAGCAGCAGGUUAAUACCCCGCUGUUCUGACGGUACCCAAAGAAUAAGCACCGGCUAACUUCGUG
rnacentral:rRNA from 1 species